CAUACAAAUUUGACUUAAGGACAGACCCUGGGAAUGGAACUCGUUUUUAAACUGGGGACUACCUGUACUAUGAACCUGUGGACUACUCAACUGUUAGCUUUUCAGCAGUUUGUUCCUGUGAUUUAUGAGUUCCAUUUUUGCUGAUAUGACCAGUUUGGGGGCAAUUCUGGCAGAGAUUUUUCUUAGUCUUCAAUCUAAUGUCCCAUAGUGAAGAAAUUGAAGCUGCAAAAAGGUUGGAUAUUUCAGCAGGACAAGUAUCUGAAACAUACCUUCAAAUCAACCAUGUAGUACAAGAAAGAAAGAUAAGAGCAUGCAAGGGGACCCAAGAAUAUUUCUGAGCUAGACAAGUUCUGCAAGGAAGAGUUGAAAAAACCCAAAAGCAAGGCUAGAAUGACUCUCAUCUGGAAACACGAAUCAUCUGGAAGCUAUUGUUUCUGCCAAAGGAAAUGUUACAAAGUGGUGACUGACAGAUCCCAACUUCUGUACCUGCUGUAUUCACUGUUGUUUUUUUUUAAUGUUAAAUGCACACAAAGUCAAGUAGACAUUCACAUUUACAAAAGGAUAUUGAGGUUAAUUUUGUACAGUGGAGAAGUUGUGUCAGCUACUGUUAACUUAGGGAGUCAUUGAAAUACAAAUUGAUGAGGGGUGUCUAAAUGUUUGCAUACAACUGUAUUGUGGGUGUGGGUGUGAGAGAGACUUGUGCCCAUUUCAGAAGCUGCCCCCUUCUCCUUCACAGUGGAAAGAAGCGGGUGGAGGAAACUACAGUUGGCAACUUGCAUUCCCUUAGUCAUCUACCCUCUUUCUAGGUUUUGUUUCACAAAAACCAAAGACAAGGCUGCUGGUUUUAUUUGAAUAACAUUAUUCGUCCAUUUUAUUUUGCCCAGCUUCUUUGGAAAUCCCUAUGCUUUUUUUUUUUUCAGGAUGCUGGCAAAUUGCCCCAUCUUGAUGGACUCUGGAAUGAGCCAUGGACUUAACUCUCCGUAAAUAUGCCUGGGACCUGAGCGCUGCUUUCCUGUUUAUUAAGGGACGUGGCCAAUUCUAAACACAGUAGCUGAACUUGUUCCCUCCUUCCCCCACCCGCCCCCAUGUACUGUGCAGAAUUUAUCAACUCUGCAUUUCAUUAUGCACUCUCCCACUGUUAUAAGAUCCCCAUGGAACUCCUUACAAUCUGCUUUAGAUUUAACUAUGUUGAAUAAUUUAUCAUCUGCAAAUUUUGCUACAUCCCUGUUCAAUCCCUUUUCCAAGUCAUUAAUGAAUGUGUUAAAAAAGCACAGGUCCCAUUAUAGAUCUCUGAGGCUCCCUACGGUUUAUCUCUUUCCGCUGCGCAAAUUGACCAUUUAUGCCUCCCUUCUAUUUCCUAUAAUUCAGCCACUUGCUUAUCCUCAAAAGGAUGUCUCCGCUUAUGCCAGAACGACUUAACCUGAUACAGGGGCCUUUGAUGAGGGACGAUACAGCCUGUUUUAUGAAAAGACUAAUUAUACACAUCUUUGCCCCGUGUAUUUACUGACGUUCUCUCAAGCUUUCAGCCAGGUCCUGAGCCAAGAUUUUGCCUUACUUCAAUUCUGCACUUUCCUCACUUGCUAGAUUUUGCACCUGGAGUCAGUUGGUAUCAGUUUAUAAAAACAAUCACCAUUCCCCCCCCACCCCCAGGUUUGGCCUGCCCAUAUAGGCUUGGCCUGAUUAUCAGGAGCACCCAGGGAGCCCGGGGGGCACAGCAAACCAUCUGCCACGUGGUCAGAGCUCAGAGCAGGGAAAUGCUUGCCCACCCCAGCCCAAUCCCUGGCAUUUUCUUUUUUUAAUUCCUGCCCGCUCUAAGCCUUAGCGGUGUGUUAAGUACUUUAUAAUCUCCCCCCACCCAGUCUCACAGUCCAGCACAGAGACAGUCCCCAUUCCAUUUUACAGAAGCCUGCAUUUUAGGGAAGAUAAAAUUCACAAUUCCAUUAGCAAGGCAGAAGCAGCGAACAAAGGAUUAAAGCAGACCAGCUGUCCACUAAGGCAGGGGUGGGCAUUCUUUAGGUGGCAGAAAAGGGGCCAGAUGGAUUUGGGGAGGGUCCGAGGCCAAACUCCACAACCAAGGACCCAAAGGCUCUGUCUGGACAACAGGUGUAAAUGGGUCAUGCCACUCUCAGAAAUAAAUGAGGAUAUGGUUGUCUCAAAUUCAGGGCCUAAAGCAACAUACCCAUAAUUUUAUCAUUUGUUAAAUGUUCAGGAGCUCAAGCAGACCUACAAAGCCCCCCCCCUUCCUUUUCUGUCACCAACAAUUACCCUCCAUAACAACUACCCUGCAAGGUAGGUUGGGCUGAGAGAGUGUGUUACUGACCCAAACUCACCCAAUGAUUUCCAUGGCUGUGGGUGGAACUUGAAGCCAGCUCUCCCUGAUGCCUGUCCAACACCUUCACCACUGGGCCAUGCUAGCUAAUUCAGGUAUUUAGGCUGCUCUUUCUUAUAUAUGUAAUGAUUAUACUGGGUGACCUGUGAACAAUUCUGAUUCUGAUGAUCAGAAUAAAUGCGGAUAAAAUGGGGAUUGUAUAUUAUGUUCAUGAUGGUUAUUAGUGCCAAGGAAUCUUUUAGAAACUGGUUCUGAGAAAUGUUUUGAGGGCCACAUUCCAUUUUGAUGAGGCCAAACGUAAAGCAGCUAAGUGUGUGGGUGUUGUGUGUAUGAAUGUAUCCUGAAAUAAUCAAGAGCAUCAUUUGCACGUGCAUGUCCUCUGUGUGGGUCUACUCAGAAGUAAGCCAGGACAGCAAAAAAGCAAACAUAUUCAGAAGCCUUACUAGUUUCAGCACAGUUUCCAGGCAAGCAUGUUGUGACCUCUUUAUAGAAAGUUAAAAGAAAAAAAAAAACCUCAACGAAUUACAAGCUACAGGUCUUUGCAUCAUUCCUUCCCCAAUUCUUCCAGCCAGUACAAAACCAUCUAUGAAGCUCCUUUUUUCUUAAAGUUCGGAGAAAUUGCUACUCACAUGACACAAUCUAUUUAGAGGUGAGUCCAACUGAGUUGAAUUAUUAUCAUGUAAAUGUAGUAGAAUUUCUUUCUUAAACAGAAUUAAACAACAUGAGCAGAAUCAGAUGGCAUUAUUUAUAUUUACAACUCUGCUGCAGCUCCUGAAAAAAAACAUCCUUCACCACCAUCUCCCCUUCUAAUGACUGGCUUACAAAACAACACACCAUCAGGAGAAACACAUUUGCAACACAUGACUAAUGCUGCAGGCAUCAAACCCCCUUUCCGAGGAUUGCUAGGCUCAUUCACAAAUCUCUCUAUUCUGUUUCUAGCCAUUACUUAAGCUCUGAGGUCUUAGGGGCAAACAGAAAACAAACUGGAAUCUCCUUCAAAUUGAGCUCAACUCCAUUAUGGAUUCUGGACAGCAGUACAGAAAUUGCAUUCCUUAUGGGAUGGCUUCUGAUUUCCCAGUCUAGGCUUCCCAGGCACCUUCCCAUCCAAGUAUUAACCAGACUAGACCUUGCUUAGCUUCAGAACCCAAAUGAGAUCAGAUAGGUAUUGCUGGCCACCAAGAUAGUUAGCGCUAUACUACAGAUUGGGGGGGGGGGGAUGGAAGGUUACAGGAAGCAAUUAGCUGAAGUUGCUAAUUUACCAUUAUCAGAUUGCCUUUGCCAUUAACUAGCUGCAAAAAGAUCACGCUUCCAGUAGCAGGAGAAAGAUAAAUCCUCUCUUGAUAAAUGGGUAUCCGAUGAACAUGUCCAGGAACUCCCUAAUGGGACUCAAAGAAAAACCAGCAGAGAUGGAUCAGCACAAACCUGUUCAAAAGACGUGUAUUGAUUUCAGCCAUUUGGGACCCAGGAUUCUGUAGAAGCAAGACUUUGCGACAAAAUAUCACUUUGAAAAAUGCCACCCUAGAACAUUUGGGAUGGUUGGUAGGCUUUGAUUAGCUUAUCACAGGGACCCAAAAAGCCAGUCAGUAUCGGGUUAGAUUUAACACAGAAGAGCCCUGGAGGGUACAGGGUUAAACUAGCCUCCCCCAUCAACCAUGACAUGGAACAUGGUGAGGGUUAACUCAGGGUGACCAUUCAUUCAUCUUCUCUUCUCACUGCUAGCACAGAGAUGAGAGCAUAGAGAAUCCUUGCAAAAACAGGGCUUUUCUAGGCACGUUUGUUUCCAUUCCCCUGCCCAGAAAAUGGGUGAUGCAGGGUGGCGAGGGAAGAGAUAAAUUGCUCCGAACCCAGGCCACUAUAUUUUUCAAAUAGUAAAAAAAAAAAAAAAAUCAAAUAAUUAAAAAAAGAAGACAGCUAGUGCAUUGCCCUUGCAAUCUCAGGUCUUUUAUGGAAAGGUAAAACUGAUGGGUAAGGACUGCUUUCUCCAGAGAAUUGAAUGAGAGAGUUGGGCACCAAAUGAAUCUAACUGCAAUUUGGAAACUUCCUGCGUGGAAGUCCCUAUCUGCUUCCUUUCCCAAAAGCCUCUGUAUGGCAGCAGCUCCUGUUCCAGGCCUUAUUGGAAACUAUUCCAUUCACUGGGAGGGAGCUAACAUAUCCAAACACUUUCCACAAUACAUGUUUAUUAUUGGUGAUUUCUUACCAACAUUUUCUCAUUCAUUUCAAAGUUUCAACUUGGCUUGCAUCAUACUAGAACAUGGAAACAAAUCAGUUCCUCCUCAUUAUAAAGGACCAGAGGCAGGUAUGGGGCCAUUGUCUGGUAAAUUCCUUAGUGUACAAGUGUAAAAGGCAGUGCCAGGGGGAAAAAGGGGCACUACAUGGAGGGGAAGGGGAAAUUACAGGUCUUUUGGCCACGUGAGCUGCAGUACUUGAUCUGAAGUUGCAGUUGCC